rfam:Aphanomyces invadans strain NJM9701 unplaced genomic scaffold supercont1.46, whole genome shotgun sequence.
GUCCGCGUGGCGCAAUGGCUAGCGUUUCGGACUUCUAAUCCGGAGGUUGCGGGUUCGAGUCCCGUCGUGGACG